CACAGGCCGAGCUGCUGCUCCGGGCAGGGUGAGCACGUCAGGCCGUGCUUCAUUUCCAGCCCCCAGCAGGAUGGGCUGAAUCUCUGCACGGUGCUUUUUGUUUAUUCCAAACAGAAAUAAAGCAAAAAUAAAAUAACCAGCAGCACGAGGAGAAAGCGACGCGCGGCACGUUUUCUCUUCCCAAAGAAUAUUACCUUUCGUGUCCACUGUAACCUUGGAAAAGAACCACUUGACGUGAGCCAACGCUACGAAAGUAAUCGCGAGCCAUUCCUCCCCCGCUCCGCAGCAGCUCGCAAUGAGCCGUGGGCAGCGCACAAGUUGAGCGCGGCUCUGCAGCCCCGGCACACGGAGAGACACGGAGGGACCCGGCGUGCCCGCAGCCCGGCCGAGCUCCGCAUCUCCCUGCUCCUUAAAAUAACAACGUGCCUGAACGCCGGCAUUAACCGUUUUAUGUCUGCGCUGCACCGCUCGGGAAACUUGGCCUCGUACUGCAGCACGACAUGGACAACACGACUGCUUUCGGCACCGCAAUUUCAUUCUGAAAGACCACUCACGCACACAGAAAGCAGCACGCAGUCACUGGGUUCUCAAGCACGUGCUGCAGAUUAUUUCAGAGGAUACUGGAUAUAACUAACAGUUUUAAUGAGAAUAAAACGUGUUCGGUUCAACUAAGCACUCCUACAGAACGGAGGGAGUUUUCACUUUCCCUUGGAUUAAACUCACCGUGUUAAAACAAAAUUGCUAACAAGAGCUAGUCAAGCCUAACAAGAUAAAAAUCCCCCACACAAAAAAAUCCUGCAAGAAAUUUUAGAGCCUCUGCAUCACUCACUGUUUUUUGCAUUGAAAUGACCUUCCAAAUAAGGUGUUAAAUAAUACCAUUCGCAUAGAUGAUAGCGAUCUAACCUUGAUGCAAAUAAACCAUAGAACAAAAUUUAA